rnacentral:rRNA from 1 species
GGUGAGUAACACGUGGAUAACCUACCUAUAAGACUGGGAUAACUUCGGGAAACCGGAGCUAAUACCGGAUAAUAUUUUGAACCGCAUGAUUUAAAAGUGAAAGACGGUCUUGCUGUCACUUAUAGAUGGAUCCGCGCUGCAUUAGCUAGUUGGUAAGGUAACGGCUUACCAAGGCAACGAUGCAUAGCCGACCUGAGAGGGUGAUCGGCCACACUGGAACUGAGACACGGUCCAG